CCUACGGGUGGCAGCAGUGAGGAAUAUUGGUCAAUGGGCUCGCGCCUGAACCAGCCAAGUCGCGUGAGGGAAGACUGCCCUAUGGGUUGUAAACCUCUUUUGCCCGGGAGCAACGGCCGCCACGUGUGGCCCCACUGAGAGUACCUGGAGAAAAAGCAUCGGCUAACUCCGUGCCAGCAGCCGCGGUAAUACGGAGGAUGCGAGCGUUAUCCGGAUUUAUUGGGUUUAAGGGGUGCGUAGGCGGAGUGUAAAGUCAGCGGUAAAAUCGCGGGGCUCAACCCCGCUCCGCCGUUGAAACUGGCGUUCUUGAGUGGGAGAGAAGUAUGCGGAAUGCGUGGGGUAGCGGUGAAAUGCAUAGAUAUCACGCAGAACCCCGAUUGCGAAGGCAGCAUGCCGGCGUCCGACUGACGCUGAAGCACGAAAGUGUGGGGAUCGAACAGGAGUAGAUACCCUGGUAGUC
rnacentral:rRNA from 1 species